UUAUAAGCAAUAGUCAGUGAUAGUUUGACUCCACAUCUUUCAAAGAACUUACGAGCUUCUUGUGUAUUUAAUUCUCCACGAUCUGUAGUGAUUUUUCCUACGCAUCCAUAGCGGCAAAUGACAUCUUCAAGCAAAAACCUAUAAAUCCCCUCUGUAGAUUUUAUCCUCAAUGUUCUCUUCUACUUGAUUUGAUAAAUCUUCACGAGCUAAAACCAAAUAUCUCAUCUGCCAUAACCCAACUGGCAUAGUAACCAAAUCAACAACCCAUUUAAAAUGAAUAGUUAGAGGAUACGUAGGAUGAAGACCAUCUCGAUGUCGGAUAUUAGAAUACGAUUGACAGAUUUCACAUGACUCUACAAAUGAGAGUAUAUCUCGAUACAUAUUUUUCCACCAAUAUCGUUCCUUGAGUUUAACAAAAGUAGCCUAGAUUUUUCUAUGCCUUGCCCAUAAACUAUCAUGAAACUUCUUUACUAAUUUUAGUUUUUCUUCCUUUUUGCCUAUGACUCGUUGUGGCAUUCCAAUUCCUUUCUUCGAUCUCUUCCAUAAGAAUCCAUCUCGAAGUAAAAAUCCAUAUGCUUUUUUUCUUAUUUGUUUGAAUUUUUCUGUAGACCAAUUUUUCUGCUUAGUCAAGGUAUUCAAGUAAUGACCAAUAUC
rnacentral:lncRNA from 1 species